UUUCUAUUAGAGUACUGCCUACUAGUGAAAAUAAUAACUGAUGUUUCUCAUGAAUAAUAUUACUGUUUGGUUAUGGGAUCACGGGAUGAGUCUUAGAUAUGGUUUUCUUCAAAUAUUUAUGUCAUUAGAGAGCUCAUGUGGCCAGACAAGGUUGUAUUUUAAUCUAGAUCUACUAAAUAAACAAGCUUCAGGCCCUAGGAUGAUGACAUAUUGUGAUGGCUAUAAUAACCGAGAGAAUCAAUGAAAGAGCUAGAGGAAAAUCUUUUUGGUGUGUUUAUGGUUGUGUUCUUGAAGCUUCUGUUUGCUUAUUUAUGGGAUAAUGUG
rnacentral:misc_RNA from 1 species